rfam:Aedes albopictus isolate Foshan contig100478, whole genome shotgun sequence.
UGUUCUUUGGCUUAUUUGGUAAAAUUGCCGUACUAGCGAUACGGAGCCGUGGGUUCGAAUCCCACCAAAGCAA